rnacentral:rRNA from 1 species
AUGAACGCUGGCGGCGUGCCUAAUCCAUGCAAGUCGCGCGAACAGACGAGGAGCUUGCUCCUCUGACGUUAGCGGCGGACGGGUGAGUAACACGUGGAUAACCUACCUAUAAGACUGGGAUAACUUCGGGAAACCGGAGCUAAUACCGGAUAAUAUAUUGAACCGCAUGGUUCAAUAGUGAAAGACGGUUUUGCUGUCACUUAUAGAUGGAUCCGCGCCGCAUUAGCUAGUUGGUAAGGUAGCGGCUUACCAAGGCGACGAUGCGUAGCCGACCUGAGAGGGUGAUCGGCCACACUGGAACUGAGACACGGUCCAGACUCCUACGGGAGGCAGCAGUAGGGAAUCUUCCGCAAUGGGCGAAAGCCUGACGGAGCAACGCCGCGUGAGUGAUGAAGGUCUUCGGAUCGUAAAACUCUGUUAUUAGGGAAGAACAAAUGUGUAAGUAACUAUGCACGUCUUGACGGUACCUAAUCAGAAAGCCACGGCUAACUACGUG